rnacentral:lncRNA from 1 species
GUGUCGUCCCCCUGCAGCUGCAGGGACACAUCCCCCACCGCGUCCACCAGCUCCGUGAAGAAGUCGGCAAUCUCCGCACAGUCCUGCAGGAACACGUAGCGGUCCUGGCGGUUGGUGAAGUAGGAGUCACUCAGGGAGGUACACCUUAAUGUGCUGGAGGCCGAUGGUCUCGUUGAAGCGCUCAGGGAUGAGGAGCCGAAGCAGCCCACGGAGGUGCGGCGUGUGAAAGAGGGAGACUCGGACCUGCUCUGGGAACCUCCGCAGGAGUGGGAGCAGCAUUGUGCGG